rnacentral:lncRNA from 10 species
AUUCUUCUCUCAGGUUCUGUUUCUAGGAAAUCCAACCUAAGACAGAAGGAAAGACAACAAUAAGCCAGCAAACGUGUAAAGGUAUAUACCAUGUUAGAUGGAGAUUAUGGCUUUGGAGAAUAAUAAAGCAGGAGAAAAGGGAAGGAGUAUUUUGGGGAGAUAGAGUUCUCAUUGAAAAAAAGUGGCCAGAGAAAGUUUUCCCAAUAAGGUAGUAUCAGUAGGAUCUAAGGAAAGUGAAGGUGCAAGCAGUGUGGAAGUCAGGGGGAUGGACAUCCCAGCCAGAGGAACCUCAAAUGCUAAAGAGCGAGAGGGAGGCUGCUGCAGCUGGAAUAAGUAGCCAGGUGGAUGGAGGUGGGUAUUAUAAUUCCCAUUUUAUAGAUGAGAAAACUGAGGCACUGAGGUAAAAUUACUUCCCCAGGGUCACUCAUCUAUUAAAUGGCACAUUUGGGAAUGCAUCUAAGAUUGAAUGAGACCAGAACUGAAGCUCUUGAACUCCACUACACCACUUCCCUAGUUACAGUAAUUCACAUUGUUUUUUUUGCUUCCAUUUCCAUCUACCCACCUCCCACCAUUGCUCUAUGAAUUUCCUGAGAAUAGAGACUGUAUUUAUUCACCUGUGUCUGCCAAGCACAUGGUUAGGAGUCCGAUAAAGUAAACAAUUGUUUUCCCCACCUGAAUUCUAAACCAAAUGAGGGACAAGAUGAAAGAGUAAGACAGAUAUUGAUUAAAAUAUCAGCUUUAUUACCAAGGAUGACUGUGCUGCAGGAGGCGGCUCAGUGUGAAGAACUACGGGUUUCCUGAUGUUGAAGCUCAGAAUUAGCCACACUGACCUUCUCAGUCAUGCAUGAUGCCAGGAAAAUCACAGGCUUCCAUUCUACAGUGAAGGGCUUGGAGGAGCAGGCAAUAAUCUGUGGAAAGAGGAAGGGGCUGAGACACACCUGGCUGACCAGCCUCUUAUCUCAGUAUUAUUAGGUGGGAGUGCCUGGAGGGUGAAACUAGUGGAGGUCUUUUCACGUGGAAAUAGGAAGCUCAGGCCAAGGAGGUUCAGACCGCCUUCCCUAAUCUUAGUACCUGGAACUAAAUGUUCUUGAAUUAAUUAAGCAGGAGGGUUAUAGUAAGAAUAAGAGUUAGCUUUAUAAUAAGCUGUGCAAUGUAACACAAUAAAUCAGCACUCUGAAAGCUGAGAGCCCAAAUCCAGAGCAUAUUUGGGGAGAGAACUCAGGUUUCUUAAUUUCCUUCUCAACUGCAUAAUCCACUGGUAUACAGAAAUCUGCCCCUCUUUUAAGCUCAGGUUUUUAUUUAGGGUUGGAUUGGGCUGGUUGGGGAGCCAGGACAACCUGACAUGUUUUCUGGGUCCUGGGGGAAGGGGUGCACACCUAAGCCCCAGCUAGCUUUGAAGGACAUCACUGAGAAGAGGAUCCCUUGUGAGAACCAGAAUGUAGUGCUGGCUGGGCAUUGGGCAUACCUGUGACACUUUGUGGCCCGGUGGCAGGGCACAGCCCUCAGCUCUAGAGGAGAAAACAAGAGAGCAAAUCUGAAGUGUAGAGUUCCACCAGCUGCCCAGAAUGCUUCACCUUCCCAUCAGAAGACAUCAAAUCAUGCCCAAGUCCUCCCAAAGCACCAAGAUGUUUACAAAAUCUCAGAAUCUGCUCAAUCUCAUCCAACUAAUUCUUCUUCCCUCAUCAACUCAUUGAAUUCAUUUGUGUCAAUAUUUUACUUUGGAGAGGUGGGAAAACACCAGAACCUCUAAACCCGCCAGCCAAAACACUAGAGCAUAGCCAUGAACAGAAUUUGAGUCUUCUUGGACAGACAGUCUAUACUCAAAGAAAAUAAUCUUUUUGCUUAAAUUGUCUAAAUUGGCCCUUCUAGCUCUAAGUAUGUUGAAUGUUGACCUUCCAAAUUGCUCUGGCUCUACUGAUCCAGGGGUGUUAUAUUCUGUUGUCAAAUAAGAAGUAUGGAAUGAACACAAUCUCAGGAAUAAAAAAUGGCUUCCUUUCAUCUGGAACUCAAGGGUGAUAGCCUAGCCUAGCUCUAUUACUUGAUGUACAGACAUCUGAUUGAAAGGGCUAACCAAGACUGUCUUAUCAAUCAGCUAUUUACUUCCAUAAACAUUACUUUACAGAUUUUAUCCUAUCCAAAAAUGCUGAAGAUGUAAUCAGGAUCAAAACAAAAACCCCCACCUGUACAUUAAUCAUUCUAAUACAGUCUGAGCCUCUGCUUCGCAGCAUAGUAGUAAGAGGUUCUGUCAAUGGCUUCAUCCAUCUGUUCUGGUUUGCUUUGCACAGAUAAAAUCAGUAACCAAGAAUCAGAGAUUUUACUAGUGGCCCCAGCUCUCUCACAAAUAACCCAGUGAGGAUCAGGAAAAAAAUAGACCAAGGAUGACUCAGAAAAAUCCAUUGUCUAUGGGAAAGACAUCAGAAUAGAUACAAACGACAGUAACAUUAGUUUAGAAGGAGCAUAAGUCUAUAAAAUGUUAUCUCCGGAGCUGAGUUGUUCAAACAAAAAGAUAAAAUCUUGAAAUAAUGGUUAAAUUUGUAUAAUCUACUGUGGAAAGUUCCAACCCCAAUUGUGAUAUCAUCCAAAGCCAAGUUAAAUCAGGCGCAGUGGGAAUGAUGCUAUCUCUGCCCCUGGUUCCAACUAGAUGAACACACCACCUCCAAAAGCACUAGUGCCCAAGCCAGUUGCCAACCAGAUAUUAUCUCUAAAAUCAUAGGACAAGAGCAAAGCUGUUGUUCUGCUCACCUUCAGCAAGAUAAUAAAUAUCAGAAAGUAGUGUGUGUAGCUCAUGGGAUUCAAUUUCACAUGCCUGUUAAAUUCAGAGAAAUAAGGGUAACUGACGGCAUUCUAUUUGGCUAAAACAGAUUAAAUUAUUUUCCCUGGAACAAACUGCCGAACUCAGGUAUUAUGAUUUUGAGGAUAUAA